CGGGCUACUAGCGCCGGGCCCCUCCGCGUCGCCACGCCUGCCCUUCACAGCCUUGGCCCAUAAGGUCACCGAGGGGCGGGAGGCGCCGCCCGGGCCCUCCUUGGAGGCGGGCGCUGCUCCCGCACCAUCCUCCCCCAGUUCUCUUAGACUCCGGGGUACUUUGGAGGCCGAGACAGACACGCUGUCCCUGCUGCCACGGAGGUCCCUGCUUGCAGGUGCAGGCUGUUAGAGGAGAGGGUCUGAAAACAAGAAAGGGGAAUAGCUGUAUGAUAACUGCUUGAAGGCGAGAGGGCCCAGCGACAGCUCUGUUUUAGACAGGGCCUCCAGGCCUCUUAGACUCAGUCCCUGCCACGCACCCACUCCUGCCCUGGCCGCUGCGACGGCAUAAUCUCGGGAUCUUUGAAGGCAGAUGCGGGGCUAAACCAUCCCACCUGACGGGAACCCUGCCACAGGACCCGACAUAUCCCUGUCUGGACACUGCUGUAACGAGUCAAAGUCAGGAAGGACUAACUGGAGCCCAGAGAUUCCCAGGUGCUGCUGCCUCAGACCUGUGGACUCUUUGGAGGAUCUCUUACAGUUUGUGAACUUCUCAGUUCCUCUACUGCUCCCACAGACAACGUUGCUAAACAUAUUAAUUGGUCCCAUAAAUACUUGAGCAAAACAAAUGCGAAAAUCUGUCCCGAAUUCAGCCUAGAAGAAGCCCAGCCCUGCGCGUCACACUUCUGUGUAGUGGAACCCCCCUUCCCACCCCGCCGCAGGCCACAGCAGGAGGGCCAGCAGACGGAAAGGCGACCCUCUCCUUGUUGAGGAUUCCUUUCGAUUUCCUUCCAGCUGACAUUCUACCACAGUUUUAGCUGCUUGCAAUCCUCUCACCGUCCCUCAUCACCUACAGUGUGUGAUUCAAAUUCCUUAGCACAAUCAAGAAGCCCCUCCUUAGUUUGGAAGUUGCCUAGCUCUCCAAAUUCAACUGCCUACCUUUCCCGUCUGGAACUUGCCAGGCUAGUAAAUUCAGAGGGUUUGCAGAUACGUAGAUGUUCUAUGCUUUACCUAAAAUGCUUUUACCUCCCAGCCAACUUUUUUUUUUUUUUUUGAGACAGAGUCUUGCUCUGUCGCCCAGGCUUGAGUGCAGUGGUGCGAUCUUGGCUCACUGCAACCUCCGCCUCCCAGGUUCAAGCAAUUCUCCUACCUCAGCCUCCUGAGUACCUGGGAUUACAGGUGGUGCCACCACACCCAGCUAAUUUUUGUAUUUUUAGUAGAGACGGGGUUUCACCAUGUUGGUCAGGCUGGUGUCCAACUCCUGACCUCAUGAUCCAUCCCCCUCAGCCUCCCAAAGUGCUGGGAUUUACAGGCAUGAGCCACGGUGCCCAGCUCUCCCAGCCAACUUUUGUCCUUCAAGACCUUGUACCUGUCUGGUCUCUAAAAAGUACCUGGCCUUCCUGUUGAGUCAUACAGCCCUGCCUCCAAGUGUCAGCGUAGUUCAUGCUGGAGACCUCUUAACAGUUCCAUGGUAUGACACUGCGGAUAUGGCUGUCUUUUCUUUGUAUCAGUGUGGUGAUUCAGAGGGUAUACUAGGGAUUCUAGAACGCACUUCUGGCUCAGGGGCUGCUUGUGUAACUUCUGUUUCUCAGCUGCCUGGUUUGUAUCAUGGGAUGAUAGUAUCUCCCCUCAGAGGAUUGCGGUAUUUCAUGAGGUGAUACGUGUAUGGAGGCCAAGUGCUGUUUUAUAUUUUAAGUGAUCUACAUCUUGAUUUUCACAACAACUGUAUAAAAGUGAUACUGUUGGCCAGGUGCGUUAGCUCACGCCUGUAAUCCCAGCACUUUGGGAGGCCAAGGCGGGUGGAUCACCUGAGGUCAGGAGUUCAAGACCGGCCUGGCCAGCAUGGUGACACCUCGUCUGUACUAAAAAUACAAAAAUUAGCCGGGCAUCGUGGCACACGCCUGUAAUCCCAGCUACUCGGGAGGCUGAGGCAUGAGAAUCAUUUGAACCCGGGAGGUGGAGGUUACAGUGAGCUGAGAUCGCACGACUGCACUCCAGAAUGGAUGACAGAGCAAGACUCUGUCUUAAUAAUAGUAUCACUUUUUUUUUUAAUCAACAAUCUCAUUUUGUAAAUGAGGAAAUCAACUUACAGACGACCUGAGUGACUUGCUCACACUGCCAGCCAGGAAAGUGCUAGGAUUUGAGCCCAGACUGUCCAGUUACAGAGAUUACACUCUGCCAUUGUGCCUCUCCAGAAGCACUGGAGGUAGGUCUAGUGCAUAGAGUAAAUGUAAAUGCUGAAACAACUGUGGCCCUAAUGAACAUCCCAUUUCUCCAGCUUUUUACUCUCCCCUUAACUUCUGAAUGACCGUCUGCUUCUAAUCUGCCAACUUGGUCUAAGAUCCUCACGGUGUUUCCUCCUGAUUACUGUUAAUGCACGGAGGUUGUCUGGAAGGUUCAUAGGCAGCCUGAUUGACUCAGUAUGUAUUAGCUGAGCACCUUUGGAGGGCACAGCCUGAGUGGUGGGAAUUAGUUCCUGGGGGCUGUCCUGCGGUGGAGACUCCCGUGAGCCCUCUGUCCUGCUGUAUGAAGGCAGCCAGUGGAAAGGCAUGUCCUCGCUGGUGCUCAAAGUAAUCUGCUACUUCUCUUACUACACUUUUCAUUCAUUCAUUCUUAAAUCGUUGAAGGCAUACUCUGCAGGUACUCUUGGGCACAGAGAUACGGUGUUUAGUAAGACAAACACUGUUCCUGGGUCUUAACGGGCUUUACAUUCCAAUGGGAUAAACAACUUAAGUAAAUAUUUUCAGAGAGGAGUACCAAGAAGAAAAGGAACAGGAUGAUAUAAUGGAGUGACUUGGAGAUCACAGGUGGUAAGAGGUCACUCUAAAAAGGUAACAUUUGAAGGCUGGGCACAAUGGCUCACACCUGUAACCCCAGCACUUUAGGAGGCUGAGGAAGGAGGACAGCUUGAGUCCAGGAGUUUGAGGCCAGCCUGGGCAACAUGGGGAGACCUUGACUCUACAAAAAAUUUAAACAUUAACUAAGUAUGGUGGCACGUGCCUGUAGUCCUAGCUACUGGAGAGGCUGAGGUGAGAGGAUCUCUUGAGCCCAGGAGUUUGAGACUGCAGUGAGCUAUGUUUGUAUUACUACACUCCAGCCUGAGGGACAGAGUGAGACCCUGUCUCUUAAAAACGAAAACCCGACUGUAUCAAAAGGUAACAUUUGAGUGGGACUUGAAAGAGUGUGCAUGCGAAGGACUGAAGACAGAAUGUUCUGUGCAGAGCGAAUUAAUGCAAUGGCUUUGCAGUGCAGAUGGGCCUGGGGUGGUCCAAUAAGGUUAGGACCAAGGUGGCUGGAGCAUCAUGAGACAAGCGUGGUACUUAGCUUGCCUUUGGUUAAGUCACUUUCUCUAUUUGAAUUUCAGUUUCUCACCUGUAAAAUAUGAGUAAUUUUAUCUGUAUUAGCCAGUGUGUAAUUAGAGGAAAAACCAUUUAAUACAGGGUAUUGUUUACAAAGGUGUUGGAAGGGCAUGAGAAACAAGGGGAGAACAAG
rnacentral:lncRNA from 1 species